AACCCAGCCGCAGCCUCUCCCAAACGCACGCUGUUCAGUCUCCGCAAAUGUACCGUGGUGGUGGGCACGGCGACGGCUCACCCACCGGCGUUGGCGCAGAUGAGGCCUUCUCCUCCUUUGAAGCGAGCCUACAGAUUGAAAAGACCUCUCACAAUUGAAAACGCACGCACCUCAGGCAACAACGAUUAUAACAACGGAGUACCCUACUCCCCACGCCAUCCCCUCCACUCAGGCGAGAUAUAUUUAGGUUGACUGGCUGCUGGGCUAGCAUUAUACUCACAGGCUCAACUCAUCUUUUUAAUUACUUCAGUAGUCAUCCAAGUUAAACCAUUCUUUUCUGAACUUUUGCAUUUCUGAAGAAGGUUGAGGCCUUAGUUCGACCUGUGUUUGAGAAUUUUCUCUUUCUGGUUCAGAAAGAUUUUGGAAAGGAUGUAGAAUUGCUUGCUCAGGUUUCCACCAACAAUGCUUCUUCUGAUGACAUGCUUCUUGCCCUUGAUAAAGAUGCAAAUGGGACAUUAAGCAAGCUGGAGCUACGAGAAUAUGAAGAUGGGAGGCUCAUUUUUAUUGAGAGAGGUACCAAGAAACAUCUUGAAAGCAUUCAAAAAGCAUGGCCUUUGGCCUUUCUCUAUGAGUAGAAGGAGCUGCAAGAACAAAGAUGCCCAACAACUUACACACUACAACAUCAGAACUCUUACAACAAAGAGCUCCCUUCAGUGCUGCAAAAUUUGGGUAAUCAGACACUUAUUUUCGAGAUCAAGCUCUCAGAUCACAACUUGAAGGAGGGGUCACAGAACUGAACGGUCGCAUGCAUUUUCGUACCAAACAGCUUUACAAAAGAACAAAUUACCCAUAAAACAAUACAAUAGGUAAGACAUGGUAGAUUGUGACAUUGUUGACUCUGAUUUGCUGGGGUUUUUCGUUCCUGGGUUGUUGUCUCUUGCUCGGCGUGCUUCUUGUUGGUCCUGAUUUGUUGCCACCCACCUCUGCCUCUUUUGCUUAUGCGCUAUUUGAAGCUAGCUACUGUCACUCACCUCUGCCUAUUUUGCUUAUGCACUAUUUGAAGCUAGCUACUCUUUGGUUUGAUGUUUUUCUCUUGGAUAUUUAGCUGCUCCGGCCACCGUGGAUCGUGCUUUGAAGAUGUUUGUCAAAUCCUGAAUUGAUCGAUUUUGUCACUCUUAGGGAUUCUAUUGGACUGUUAUGUUAGGUGUUAAAGCAUGUGUUAAUGCUUGUGGGGUUUGCUUUUUGUAGGCGUUGAGCCAAGAUUUCUAAUGCUACAAUUAUCGACACCGGUGUUAGAAGGAUGCUUCCUCGACAGGAAGAACCGCGACGGAGCUCGAAGCCCAUAAGGCAACACUCCCCCCAAAGUCAGGGGGGUAAAGGAAAAUUCGACAAACCGGCAAACGCGACGAAAGAGGCAGUUACCAAAGGUGGGCAAUUAUCAGCACGUGUGCGUACCCACGAUGCCACAAACAGCGGUGGUUACCCACGACUCAAGGCUACCCACGUCGCAAGCAAACCAAUCAAAGUCACGUGCACAAAUCCACCGGCUAAACGUGGGGUAAGGCGCCAAAAUUCAAACCCACGAAGCCAUCAUGCAUUGAAGAAAAAACCGCCAAGAACGUGGAGGAAGAAGCAGCACUAUAAAUAGGAAAAGCAGCAGCAGAAAAAAGGGUUCCCAACUCAAACUCUGAAAAUUCACCAGAAAGCUCUAAAUGUCCGCAUCAAUGAGACUCAAGGAGCAAAACGUGAUGAUGGAGGAGUAUGUUGCAGAACCAACACUUUAGUUUUCUUAUAUUUAAGCUUGUUAAUUUCCAGUUCCUUUAUGCAUUUUCCUGUCGAAAUCCACAUUUCUUGUAGCUUUUGCGUUAUUUUGAUGUAUGUGACUUCUUUG